rnacentral:lncRNA from 1 species
AGAUUCCUACCUGGCGUUUCUGCCCCGAUUUCGCUUCAUGAAGGUACUACAUGAUUAUAUGUUAGGACUUUAUUGGGAUCAAGAUAUUCUGGAACAAAGAUUUGCAAGAUCUGGGACAUCAUGGACAAGCUGUGCCUGAAGAUGGAAGGCAAGAUGGUCUGUGUAUCAUUUUUGAGAUAAACUCAGUGUAAACUAUAAGGCAAAGACAUGUUCGAAUUUAAUCUACAUAUAACACCCAGCAUGGAGAGAAUCAGAAACCAAGAGCAUGGUGUACUCAGUCUAACCCACAGGUUAUGGGCCAGAGCUUCAUAAUGAAAUAGUGAAAUGAGAAUGUAUGUUUUUUAUCAAGGAGUUCAUUGUCCUUUCUGGAGGCAGGGCUGACACAGCGACCUCCUCAUGUGGAAUCACCCGGAACCAUUUCUGUUCCAGCUCUUCUGUUUUUUGGCAAGUGCAUCAGAACAUCCUCUAUCCUGUGUCUGCCUCAGCGAAACAUUUCCUCAUGAGUCGGCCUUAGCCUUUCACACCUGUGUCCACUUCAACCAAACAUUCUUUCACGUGUUUGCCUCCGCAAAACACCAUCCAACUGACUUUCCAAAGAACCCACAAGUUUCUCCUUCAAAGAGUUCCAAGAAUGAGCAGAUAUUCAAGUACCUGCAAGAAUACCCUAGAGCCUCCGACAAGGACCGACUGCAGCAAAACUACAGUUUUUCAGGUCUCACAGGCAGGAGGCUGCAGGGUUACUAUUCACAGGCAGGCUUCAUCUAUCUAAGAACCUGCUGGGCAUCUUCUCCCCCAAGGGACGUCUCCCAGGAUGUCCUUGCAGUGCAGAGAGGCUCUGGGUUCCUGGACCCAAGAUAUAAUGGCUCUACAAGUGUUGGUGAGCUGAACCCAUGAGGCCUGUGACUGCAGCAGAAGGUCCAUACGUCUAGUUUGAUUUAACAGCUCCCACGUGAUCCUCUGCUACAGCUGGAAGACAGUGUCACCACGCCUUCCCCAUGUGAUGGGUGUAGCCCUGAAAUGUGAGCCCAGCUAAAAAUUGAGGAUGAAAGUCUAGGUGACUUUCUGGUGGCUGUGCAGAUGAGAAGUCGGACAGUGGCACUGCAGUUUGCUCUGAUUGACUCUGGAGCCUGUGUUUGAAGCUACAGCAAUACAACAGUCUGCUCCAGCGCUGAGCUUGUAGGAAGGCGACCACUCCAGGCCGACUCAAUGGCUUUAGCCUCCAGAGUUAUCGUCGUUUGGCAGGAAGUCUUAAAGAACCCCACAGCGUGCCCUUCCGCCCCUGGCACAUCAUAAGCUAUUUUGGGAUGAGUCAUCGGAAUUCUGUGGUUUGCAUAUCCUGAAGGGGAAGAGAAGACACUGUAUGGCUAACAUUUAUUUGAAAUAGCAAGUUGGAAAGAAAAAUUCUUCGAUAAAAGUUCAGCAUUAGAACACACAGGAAGGUAGGCUUGGUGACUUCUGCAUGUGACUGUCAUAAGCAGAUGCUUGUUGCGCUUCUCCCAAGCCACGUUGGAAGAUGCUUUCCAAAUGCCUUGCGCUGAGCACAUCACCAGAAUGGUUUCCAAGCUACAAGAUGGCUCCAGGGGACACAGGAUACUCACCUGGCUGAAUGUGAAAAAGCUGCUUCACACUCUUGCUGCCACAGCUGAGAGACACUCCUUUUGCCAUGUCCUUCAUGCUCUGAUGGACUGUUCCUUUAAACCAUGAGUCAAAAGAAACCCUUCAACACUUAAGUUUCUUCCUGUCAGGUGAUGAUAUUCUGCCUUGUAUUGGAGCAAGGAAGCAGCAGGCAUUGACCUUCCACUAUGUUCUUAUACAGAGAAGGCUUCUGGGUCUCACCAGAAGGAAAGCUCAAGGAAAAGCCAUGUGGGAGAAGCCAAUGUUUCCUAGAGCCUCAGAAUUUUGGAAUAAAAAAGGUUUGAUUUAC